AUUUAACGAAGUCUUGCUUUACCUUCACUUUUUGUUGUGGUAGUAGUUUUUCCAUCAGUUGUUUGGCUUUGAAUUAAAAAAAAAAAACAAAACCAGUCCUCUUUAGGUUCGGCAUCUUCAUCUUAACAUGGCACAUCUAUAUACACAUCAGUAAUGCAUAGAUUUGAUUUCUUCAACUGAGUUGAAGACACAAGCCAAAUUGUGAAAAAAACAUGUAAAUGUCUAUAAUGCAGGAAUACUCACCAUCGUUGGUGAACAUUUUCUUUUAAGCUACUGGGCAAGAUUCCCCUAGUGACUUGAGGUUGGCUUCAGUUGCUUGCCAGUUUCUCAAAAGUCAGUUGACUGCUGGGUUAAGGGUUAGCCAACUUCUAUUCACAUAUCACCGUACUUCUUUCCAUUCAAUUUCAACAAAGAAAAAAACCUGAAUUCUUUGAGUUUUGUGGGGACCAAAAAAUGAUUAUAAAUUUUCAAUAAAAUCAUUUUUGUGUCAACUGAUAGCCAACCACUCACAUUUGCAAAUAUUGUGGGCUGUGUGUAUGGGGAAGUUCAUCUCAGAAUGCAAUAAUUUUCAGCACGUAACAACUGGUAUACCAAGUUGUGUUUACCAUAGUUCAUAUUUGCAUUAUCAUCAGAGUAUGCAGUAAUACAAUUAAUGUUAAGCUGGUGUUUAUCUAGGCUAGUCUUUAUAACACAAUGAAUGCCUCUUGCAGAUUCAUCAUAGUCUUCAUAAAAAUUGAGCAACUUGACUGAACACCAUGUGAUAUGGCCCAGGACUGUCUGAAGUUUCCACUAAUAUUGCAAGGCAGCCAAGCUGCUGCAUCUGGACCUUUCUUCUCGUGGGUGGCUUCUCUCAUAGAUACAGAGCUGCAGGAACUGAGCCUCAUCGCACUGUCCUGGCCAAAUUCCAAUAUAGAGAAUUACAUUUGGAAUCCCUAAAUCUGCGCCUUCCUCCCCUCUGCUGGAGUUGCUAUUGCAUAAUUAGCUUCCCGUUCACAUCCCAUCCUAAAUCACUAUAUGGUAUUGUAGCUGAACGGCUGACAUGUUCCACCCCAGAGCAGAUGCAGUUUGAAGGUGAACAAAGUCCUUCCUGAGACAAACCCCAAUGCCCUCUUUUCAGGAGAAACUUCCACUGAGGCCAGUGAGAGUUUUGACUGAGUGGCAGUUAUAGAAAUGGUACUGAAACCAAGGUCGGAAAAGACCUUGAAAUCCUCCAGAAUGGCAGGCACAGGGCAUAUGUGGAGUUUAGGAAAGGGACUCUCCUCUACCCUUUCCAGCUGAAGAGCUGCUGGUGCCACUCAAAUUUGGCUGUCCACUCUCGGUCCAUCUACGAAUGGUGUUGUAACUUAGUGCACGGGUUGAAAUAUGGGAUAAAAGGAGUCCUGUACUGAUUUAGUAUUGGGCAGCCAAUUUUCAUUAAAAUUACAGAUGGCCCUUACAACACAGGUCUGUUGGCAACCCAACCCUGGGAGAGGCAGGGAAGCAGGUGCUGCCCCCAAGGGUGGGAGGCCAUGGGACAGGAUUGUUGCAGAGCAAGCAUGACAGAGGUGGCUGGGCCAAACCUGAGCAGUGCUGCAACCCCAUGCAUCAAGUCACAAUUCCCAGAAUGGGAAGCCAGGCCCAGUCCCACAGGACAGGAGCUGCAGAAACUGCUACUGUAGGGUGAGUUUUAAGUCAUUUUAUACAAUCUCUUAUUCAGUGUUAUUUUGCAUUUGUGGAAAACAUGGGGCUCUAGCUGUAGUAAUAAUAUUUGUCCUCCUACUUAUGUUGUGUGCUGUAAUGGGGCCAAAGCGUCUGCAUAGGCAAAGAGUCAUCAUGAGGUUCUUGCUAUUGCAGGGUGUGUGGUGGCCACCUAGGCCCAAAGACAUAAAGAACAAUUGUGAGAGAAAUACAGGAUAUGGUUUAAUUUCUAAAGGGCAUCAGCCCACGCUGUCUUAUUCUUGAUAUAGAUCCAUACAUAGCACUUGUUUGUCAGACUGUGAGCCCUAUGGGGUAGGGACUGAUCCUUUUGGCUUCUCUGGCAUGUGCCUCACACUUUCUGCCACUGGGGUUUAGGUUCCUGUUAAAACUGAGGCAAGUUAAUUAGUCCCACAGUGAAUCAGCAGCAAAGCCAGGAUUAGGUUCAUGCCUUGCUCAGGCACUUAGCCAAAGGGUUCUGACAUGUUCACACUGUGUGGACCACAUCUUAAAAGGAAAGUUUGUCUUGUUGAUCCACGUCCUCUUCCAUGCAAGAGCACACAGACCAUUUCCUUUCCUAUUCAUGUAGCAACUACAGCAAUUGAUUACAUGGAAAAGUAAUAUUAGGAAAGCAUUGAAUAUGUAUUUUAUCUUCUUUUAAUGUGAUUUAGCAGCUGGAAACAAGGAAAGCUGGUAUUGUGUCAUCAGCCAGUUCUUCUCAAACAGCUGUUUAAGUACUAGUGCAUUAAACAAUGGUCUGAAA